CUCAGCAGGAUGAUGAGAAGGGCUGAAAUGCUGCCAAACCAGGUCCUUUUCUGAUGGUGGCUGGG
rfam:Mus musculus chromosome 7, clone 19K5, complete sequence.